CUCUUCUUGGAUGAGUUGCGAACGGGUGAGUAACGCGUAGGUAACCUGCCUUGUAGCGGGGGAUAACUAUUGGAAACGAUAGCUAAUACCGCAUAACAAUGGAUGACCCAUGUCAUUUAUUUGAAAGGGGCAAAUGCUCCACUACAAGAUGGACCUGCGUUGUAUUAGCUAGUAGGUGAGGUAACGGCUCACCUAGGCGACGAUACAUAGCCGACCUGAGAGGGUGAUCGGCCACACUGGGACUGAGACACGGCCCAGACUCCUACGGGAGGCAGCAGUAGGGAAUCUUCGGCAAUGGGGGCAACCCUGACCGAGCAACGCCGCGUGAGUGAAGAAGGUUUUCGGAUCGUAAAGCUCUGUUGUAAGUCAAGAACGAGUGUGAGAGUGGAAAGUUCACACUGUGACGGUAGCUUACCAGAAAGGGACGGCUAACUACGUGCCAGCAGCCGCGGUAAUACGUAGGUCCCGAGCGUUGUCCGGAUUUAUUGGGCGUAAAGCGAGCGCAGGCGGUUUGAUAAGUCUGAAGUUAAAGGCUGUGGCUCAACCAUAGUUCGCUUUGGAAACUGUCAAACUUGAGUGCAGAAGGGGAGAGUGGAAUUCCAUGUGUAGCGGUGAAAUGCGUAGAUAUAUGGAGGAACACCGGUGGCGA
rnacentral:rRNA from 1 species